rnacentral:tRNA from 1 species
GUUCUCGUAGCUCAGCAGGAUAGAGCGAUCGCCUCCUAAGCGAUAGGUCGCACGUUCAAAUCGUGUCGGGAACGCGA